rnacentral:sRNA from 1 species
UUCUUUUCGGAGCUGAAAACAGAGUGACAAGGAGUCUACCAUUUUAAUAACUGGGCACAGAGUAUUCCAGGCAGAGGACACAGCACAGGCAAAGGGCCAGCAGUGGGAAUAAUCCUGGCAGGUUCAAGGAAUGGAAAGCCCAAGAUCUUCCUUGACUUGUCCCCACUGCCUGAAACAGAGCAACACCUUUGAUCCUUUCCUGUGUGUGUCCCUACCUAUCCCCUUGCGCCAGACGAGGUUCUUGAGUGUCACCUUGGUCUUCCCCUCUAAGAGCCAGCGGUUCCUGCGGGUUGGCUUGGCCGUGCCAAUCCUCAGCACAGUGGCAGCCCUGAGGAAGAUGGUUGCAGAGGAAGGAGGCGUCCCUGCAGAUGAGGUGAUCUUGGUUGAACUGUAUCCCAGUGGAUUCCAGCGGUCUUUCUUUGAUGAAGAGGACCUGAAUACCAUCGCAGAGGGAGAUAAUGUGUAUGCCUUUCAAGUUCCUCCCUCACCCAGCCAGGGGACUCUCUCAGCUCAUCCACUGGGUCUGUCGGCCUCCCCACGCCUGGCAGCCCGUGAGGGCCAGCGAUUCUCCCUCUCUCUCCACAGUGAGAGCAAGGUGCUAAUCCUCUUCUGUAACUUGGUGGGGUCAGGGCAGCAGGCUAGCAGGUUUGGGCCACCCUUCCUGAUAAGGGAAGACAGAGCUGUUUCCUGGGCCCAGCUCCAGCAGUCUAU